UGUUAGAGCUAACAAGUGUAGGCUCCUUACUUCCUGUUUUCAACCUGUUGCUACUGUGUGCAAUGUACUUCGACUGUUAGGAGAUGUUGGAUGGGCUGACGCCGGUGAAACAGCUACCCAUCCCAGCCACCCUCUGGUUUGCAUGGCCACAGACGUGGAACCAUGGUCAGACAGACACCUUCCCCCACUGAGAAUGUUUGAGAGUCAACAGAUAACAACAAUUCAGCCUCACCAACGUUUGUCCAGAAAAAUGCAGUGUACACAUGCAUUUGAGUAGCUUAUUGUGAAGGGCUGAAGACUCCCAGGCUGUGGGAUGCAGAUAAAUGACAGAGGCUGAGCAAGCAGCAAUAUUGUAAUAUUGACAUAAAAUUAGGAUGUGGAUUAAAUUGUUAAAAAACAUA